UACGAAGGGGGCUAGCGUUGCUCGGAUUUACUGGGCGUAAAGGGCGCGUAGGCGGACAGUUAAGUCGGGGGUGAAAGCCCGGGGCUCAACCUCGGAAUUGCCUCGAUACUGGCUGUCUUGAGUGUGAGAGAGGUGUGUGGAACUCCGAGUGUAGAGGUGAAAUUCGUAGAUAUUCGGAAGAACACCAGUGGCGAAGGCGACACACUGGCUCACUACUGACGCUGGAGGCGCGAAAAGCGUGGGGAGCAAACAGG
rnacentral:rRNA from 1 species